AGCUAACAAUUUUUAGCUGAAUCCGGGAAUCCAGUCAUUCUUGUGCUUGUUUCGAUACUAUUAACAUGUUUAUUUGGAUUUAUUAUAUUUUUUAAUGUUAGUUUAGAAAGUAAUAAAUCUUAAUUUUUCACCUCUUUUAUUUAGAACGUGUAUAACUGCAAAAACGUCUAAAGCGGUUCUUUAAGAAAUCGCUUACCCUCCCCCUCCUUCAGUCAGGUAAGGAGGGGGAGGGGUGUUAAGCUGCGCAGUUCUGCGUAGCAGUACCAGCAGAUGGCAGAACAAUGAAUGCUCCUGACGAUUUCAUAAGGUUUAACCUACCCCUCCUUCAGUCUGGUAAGGACUUCUUCUUACCUGACUGAAGCAGUUGGCAGCACAAUGAAUGCUCCUGACGAUUUUAAAAGGUUUACCUCUGCCCCUCGUGUUAUUAUCAUCUGACUUAAAGGGGUUGUGUCUAAAUCUCAGCAGCUGCAGAACGCGACUAAGAUGUCGUAAAAAGUACCCAACAAUAAGUACUUGAAACUUUUUUAAAGGUAUUUGGUGCCGGAUUCUUCAGCACCGGUCAGUUCUGCGACUUCUGCGAGCAUUAGAAGUUUUCACUUGAAUCUUCAGAGAAACCAGUAUAAUACGCGCCAUCUAAAGAGACUGGUCUGAAGUUAGCCUCUCUACUAUAUAACCUUUAAAAUAUAAUAAUCAACUAAUUUCUGACCGGCCGACUUAGAUCGCCCGUAUUGUAAUUAAGAUAAAUUUAAUGUUGCUUUGUUAGAUAUGUUCAUGUAUCUAACAAAACAACCGGUUAUUACUACUGUAAGUUACUAUUAUAUAUAGUUCAGGGCGGGGACGUAUUCACUUGACGAUUCCCAGACCUUGACUUUAGUAUUAUACGUACAAGUUAUCAAGAAAUGUUUGAAAUCGACACAUUUAAGCCACUAAACAUCAAACAUAAAUAUUGUAAUUAAGGUUAACUUAAUGUUAGUUGGCCCCAAGCUAUUACUGCAUGUUACUAAUGUAUGCGGUAUUACUAAGGAUUUCCCUGCGCGUAGUAAUGUAAGCAAUAGCGAAGGUAUGCCCUCGAUUUCUUCGCUACUAUUGAAUGCAACGUAUGUUGCAAUUAAACCAUUAAAUAUUGUAAGGUUCAUUUAAUGUUGGUUUGUUAAAUAUAGCCAAAUAUUUAACAAAACAACCACCAUUUACUCUCACCGUAAGUUACUAACUAACCUAGUAUUGUAAUCGGUAGGUAUGGUAUGCCCUUCGGUAGGUAAUUUAAGGACAAAAAAAAAUA